rnacentral:piRNA from 1 species
UAGUCAGCUGGUGGUAGGUCAGGUGAAUA